rnacentral:rRNA from 1 species
UACGUAGGGUGCGAGCGUUAAUCGGAAUUACUGGGCGUAAAGCGUGCGCAGGCGGUCUGUUAAGACCGAUGUGAAAUCCCCGGGCUUAACCUGGGAACUGCAUUGGUGACUGGCAGGCUUUGAGUGUGGCAGAGGGGGGUAGAAUUCCACGUGUAGCAGUGAAAUGCGUAGAGAUGUGGAGGAAUACCGAUGGCGAAGGCAGCCCCCUGGGCCAACACUGACGCUCAUGCACGAAAGCGUGGGGAGCAAACAGG